rnacentral:rRNA from 1 species
AUUGAACGCUGGCGGCAGGCCUAACACAUGCAAGUCGAGCGGAUGAAGGGAGCUUGCUCCUGGAUUCAGCGGCGGACGGGUGAGUAAUGCCUAGGAAUCUGCCUGGUAGUGGGGGAUAACGUCCGGAAACGGGCGCUAAUACCGCAUACGUCCUGAGGGAGAAAGUGGGGGAUCUUCGGACCUCACGCCAUCAGAUGAGCCUAGGUCGGAUUAGCUAGUUGGUGGGGUAAAGGCCUACCAAGGCGACGAUCCGUAACUGGUCUGAGAGGAUGAUCAGUCACACUGGAACUGAGACACGGUCCAGACUCCUACGGGAGGCAGCAGUGGGGAAUAGUGGACAAUGGGCGAAAGCCUGAUCCAGCCAUGCCGCGUGUGUGAAGAAGGUCUUCGGAUUGUAAAGCACUUUAAGUUGGGAGGAAGGGCAGUAAGUUAAUACCUUGCUGUUUUGACGUUACCAACAGAAUAAGCACCGGCUAACUUCGUG